rnacentral:rRNA from 1 species
UACAGAGGGUGCGAGCGUUGUUCGGAAUUAUUGGGCGUAAAGGGUGCGUAGGCGGUUUGGUAAGUCUGAUGUGAAAUCUAUGGGCUCAACUCAUAGUCUGCAUCGGAAACUGCCGGGCUUGAGUAUGGGAGAGGGUAGUGGAAUUUCCGGUGUAGCGGUGAAAUGCGUAGAGAUCGGAAGGAACACCAGUGGCGAAGGCGGCUACCUGGACAAAUACUGACGCUGAUGCGCGAAAGCGUGGGGAUCAAACAGG